GAUGAACGCUGGCGGCGUGCCUAAUACAUGCAAGUCGAGCGAACAGACGAGGAGCUUGCUCCUCUGACGUUAGCGGCGGACGGGUGAGUAACACGUGGAUAACCUACCUAUAAGACUGGGAUAACUUCGGGAAACCGGAGCUAAUACCGGAUAAUAUAUUGAACCGCAUGGUUCAAUAGUGAAAGACGGUUUUGCUGUCACUUAUAGAUGGAUCCGCGCCGCAUUAGCUAGUUGGUAAGGUAACGGCUUACCAAGGCAACGAUGCGUAGCCGACCUGAGAGGGUGUGCGUCCACACUGGGACUGAGACACGGUCCAGACUCCUACGGGAGGCAGCAGUAGGGAAUCUUCCGCAAUGGGCGAAAGCCUGACGGAGCAACGCCGCGUGAGUGAUGAAGGUCUUCGGAUCGUAAAACUCUGUUAUUAGGGAAGAACAAAUGUGUAAGUAACUAUGCACGUCUUGACGGUACCUAAUCAGAAAGCCACGGCUAACUACGUG
rnacentral:rRNA from 1 species